rnacentral:rRNA from 1 species
AUUAAUAGUGGAUUAGUCCAGCAGACGGAUAACUCUGUUCAAGACAGCGAAGAAGGGCGCGGCAAGCUGCGAAAUGUCCUGGCGAGGCGCAUGUAGCCUUCGAACCAGGAAUGCCCUAAUAGGACUUCCUAUGCUUUUAGCAUAAUCCGAAAGGAUGGCGAACUCGGGGAAUUGAAGCAUCUUAGUACCCGAAGGAAAAGAAAUCAAUCGAGAUGCCCUGAUUAUCAGCGAGAGAAAAGGGUGUAAGGCAAACUGAAUCUGCCGUAGUAAUACGGUAGAGAUGUGGUGUUAUAGGACCUAUUUUAUAUCCAAACUUGUAUAUUCAAAGUUUUCUGAAAUGAAAUACCAUAGAGGGUGAAAGUCCCGUAGAAAUUCAUAAGUGGAUUUUUUAGGUAUCCUGAGUACUGCACAUUGGAAAUUGUGCAGGAAAUUGGGAGGCAUCAACUUCCAACCUUAAAUAUGUCUUGAGUCAGAUAGCAAACGAGUACUGUGGAGGAAAGUUGAAAAGAACCCGUAAUAGGGAAUUAAAAGAACUUGAAAUCUGUUGGAGAUAGCAGGAUACGGCUCUAAAGGAGUUGUAUCGUACGUUUCGAAAAACGGGCCAGGGAGUGCAUUUAAGUGGCAAGGGUAAUCUAAAAGAGAACCCGCAGGGAAACCAAUAGCUCGCAGUUUACGAGGAGCAUGGUGUGAUAAGUGCCAUUAGUCACUUGGAUGCGACCCGAAUCCAGAUGAUCUAAUCCGGGGCAAGGCGAAGUGGGGGUAAAACCCUGUGGAGGCCUGAAGAGGUUCUAGGUGCAUCUGUUCUUCUGACCUUGGAUUAGGGGUGAAAAGCCAAUCGAAUCUGGUGAUAGCUGGUUCCUGCCGAAAUAGGCCUAAGUCUAGUCUCGAGCGAGAUAACUAUAGCUGUAGAGCUACGGAUUGGGGAUUUAGGGGAAGAAAUUCCUCGGUUCUCUGUUCAACUCCGAAGGUUAUAGUAUUGUAGACCUUGAGAAACGGCGGUGCGCGGUAAACGUGUAUCGCAAGAGGGUAACAACCCAGACUGUAAUUAAGGCCCCAAAAUACUGAUUAAUUGUUAGAGGGUGAAAGGUGUAUAAUACCCAAGACAGCAGGGAGGUUUGCUUAGAAGCAGCAAUCCUUUAAAGAAAGCGUAAUAGCUCACCUGUCUAGGUCUUGUGCCCUGAAAACGGACGGGACUAAAUCAGUUGCCGAUAUUACAGACUUCAUUCUAGAAAUGAAAGUGGUAGGCAGGCGUUUUGUAAGGGCAGAAGCUCUUCCGAGAGGAGGAGUGGACCUUGCAAAAAUGAGAAUCCUGGCGUUAGUAGGAUCUGUAUAGAGUGAGAAUCUCUAGCAUCGAAAGAACAAGGGUUCCUUAGCAAUGUAGUUCAGCUAAGGGUAAGUUGGUCCUAAUUUAAGUCAUAACAUGACCUAUAAGAAAGGGAAAAAGGUUAAGAUUCCUUUACUAUUUGAAUACGUGUGGCAACACAAGGGUGAUUUUUGAAACUUUGGGCUAAAUCAGCAUUACUAACCUGUAAUGUUAACUAAAAUAAAUUGGGGAAGUACCGUAAUGGUGAGAACCUGAUUAAAUUUGGGAAUAGUGCGCUUAUGGCGCAUCUGGUUGAUGCCUGGAGUCCAUGAAAAAAGAAUCAUCAAGGAUUUCAAAUAACCAUACCCAGAACCGGCACUGGUGUUCUAGGUAAGAAGCCUAAGAUGUGAGGGACUAAUCCAAUCAAGGGAACUCGGCAAAUUAGCAGCGUAACUUCGGUUUAAGCUGUCCCUGUGAUUGUGUACGUAUGUAUGCGAUUGCAGGGUUCAAUAACAAGGGCGAUCCGACUGUUUAACAAAAACGUAACUUUCUGCCAAUCUGAAAAGAUGUGUAUAGAAGGUGAUAUCUGCCCAGUGCUCGUACUUCAAAACCUGUUUCAACGGGUCUAAGAGCGAGUAAACGGCGGGAAUAACUAUAAUUCUCUUAAGGUAAAAAUAAAAGUUGCCUUAGUAAAAUUCAGCUAUAUGCUGGAAAAUCUGAGUAUCUCACACUACUUUAAAAUUUUUAAAGUAACAAUGUGUUGAGUGCAGACAAUCAGCAGGAAAGACUGAAUGUUUUUGAAAAAACAUUUUGUAUCCUCAGAGACUAUACGCUGAAACUCGAAAGAGUAAGAUAUAGUCCGACCCAUUAUGCGAGUAAUGGAAGUAUGUAGAAAUGCAUACUCGCCUAAAUUAAUUCUAAAAUAUUUUUUAGGUUAGUACUCUUUAAUUUUAAAGAGGAAAGUAACAAAUGUGAGCGAAAUGCCUUGUCGCUUAAUUGGCGACCUGCAUGAAGGUAUAACGAGAUCGCUUCUGUCCCUGGUUGGAACCCCCUGAAUCCACUGUACUGGUGCAAAGGCCAGUGACUUCCAAUGGGAAGCGAAGACCCCGUAGAACUUUACUGUAGCUUGUAGCUGCAAUGUGGAGUUUGUUGUCCAGCAUAAGUAGGAGUCGCCAAAGCUUGAUCGCUAGGUUAAGUGUAGACAACAGUGUAAUACUACUCAAUGGACUCUACAUUGCUUACUCGGAAGAGGACAAUUAUUGGCGGACAGUUUGGCUGGGGCGGCACCCUGCUGAAAAGAUAUCAGUAGGACCCUAAGGUUGGCUCAAGAGGUUUAGAAAUCCUCUGUAGAGUGCAAGAGCAAAAGCCAGCUUGACAGAAUUUUGAAAAAUAAAAAAUUCUGGGACGAAAGUCCGGUCUAGCGAACCCUUAUGCCUUCUUGGUGAGGGCUAAGGCAAAUAGAAAAGCUAUCUCGGGGAUAACAGAGUGGUCGCGCCUAAGAGCUCGGAUCGACGGCGCGGUUUGCGACAUCGACGUCGGCUCUCCGCAUCCUGGCCAUGCAGAAGUGGCCAAGGGUGGAGGAGUUCACUCAUUAAAGCGGAUGUGAGCUGGGUUCAAUACGUUGUGAGACAGUAUGUAUGAUAUCUAUUGGAAGUGUAUAGUGUCUGAAGGGAAGGAUCUUCUAGUACGAAAGGAACGAGGAAUCGGGGCCUCUAGUCAAUCGGUUAUCUGGUAAGGUAUGCCGAGCAGCCACGCCCCAAGGGAUAAAUCCUGAAAGCAUCUAAGGAUGAAACCCGCCUUGAAAAGAGACACACUGGAGCUCCUGUAAAUGACAGGUUUGAUAGGAUUGAUGUGUAAGCAUUAAGGUAACGAGAUGUUCAGCAUGCAAUUACUAAUCGCUCCACCACUAAAAUU